AAAGAGGAAUUAGAAAAUAAAGGAAAAUGAAAAAUAAUGGAGCUUGGUGCACAAACGCUGUGUUUUAUUCUAGUACUACAUAGUGCAAAUCACAAUUAAUCGUUUAUUAUCUGUUAUUACCUAUAUCGAUAACUUAACAGUACAACUUUGCACUGAUAUUCUAUCCAGAACAUUAGACUUGCACUGGAUAAAACUAAAAUAAAACACAGCAAAACUUUGGAAAAGUGUAAUAGGUCCACUAUAGGCUUACGUCAAUAUUUGAGGAAUGUACUUAUCGCUGUACUGUAUAGUGCUAAUUACUAUUAAUUGGAUAUUGUCUUUUAUCGAAAGAUAUGAAUGAAAAGCAAGCAAGAGCUACACUACAAAAAGUAAAACGAAUUUCAGCAUUUUUCUCACGACUGCUGAACAACAAAUACUUGCCACAGAGCACAAAACUAUUGGUAUACAAGCCAAUGAAAUAGAGAUCUUUGAGCGAAAGAUUCUCGGCAAAUGCGUCUAUAUGUACUACGAGAAUCCAACCAAUCCAAUCCAAGUCAAUCCCAUGGCAGCCGGUUGUACGUACCGGAUUGACCCGAUGGAAUUCUUCAUCGGCAAGGGCUGCCGCCUCGGUGUACAAUACACUGCUACAACAACAACAACGAGAAUCCAACAAAAAGUUCUCCAACGAACAUACAUAUAUAUAAAGCAGCAAAUGUACAACCUGUUUGUAAGUAUGUCUUGUCAUAUCAGCUCAAAUUUGUAGUAUACCUUGAAUUCCACGAAAACUCUGAGCUGUACAGAUUCUGCUUACCUUUCUACGGCAUCAUUCAACAAUUUUACGAUACACAGAGCCUGAUUCUACAAAAUAAACACUAAUAAAAUAUUAUAAAAACUUAUAAUACUGAUAAUUAAUGAUAAUUGAGUUUCACUCACCACGUUAAAGUACGUUUAUAUUGAUCACUUAAUCCGGAUUCAUGGUAAAAUUAAGAGGUACUGUCAUUAAAAUAAAAACAAAAAUCUACCCCCAAUAAAUCAAGCAAAUAUUAACAAUUAUA
rnacentral:sRNA from 1 species